rnacentral:rRNA from 3 species
CCUGAAGCUGGCCGUUAAACCGCCAGUUAGGGUAGAACAGGUAAUUGGGGCUAAGUCGUAACAAGGUAGCCGUACCGGAAGGUGUGGCUGGAACACCUCCUUUCUGGAG